GACACCUCUGCCCUAAUAAGAGGACUCACCCUGUAAGAGGGGCAUGUGGAAUGGGAGGUAUUAUGGCUGCCAUCUUUAGAAAUUACAAUUUGCCACAGGUUGUGUUCCCUAGAAGCAGAGGUUGAAAUAGGGGUUCUUUUGUGAGUUAAGGAAGAGGAAGAAGCUAAGCGAGGAUGUAGCUUCAGGUGAAGUCCAGCUUCAACCUGAUCUUGUAGGCAGCACUGGAUCUCACAUUGUCUGCAGCAUUUGUCCUUCCUUGAGGCAAAAAAGCGGGUCUUUUGUACACACAUAUCAGUCAACCCUUAGCUUAGGGAAGCCCCAGGGGAAGGGUUGUAACUCCUAGGUAUCUCCUAGACAGGCAACUCCUCUUGCUUAAAGGCAUUUCCCAGACAAGGCUUGCUCUGUGAGCCUUUAAUAGCAGUUAAUAAAAAGAUUGCCAGAGAUCUGAUUGGGACUGCAACAGCCUCAGCUACAUUAAGAUAUGGGGGCACAUUCAAGGCCUGUUUUAUAGAGACUAGCAGGAUCUGGGGACCCAGUCAGAAGACACUUGGGGUUUAGGGCAGGAAGUCUACUGAUUGCCACGAGCAAAAAAGGAAAUACAUUGGUUCAUGAAAUGAGAAAGUCAAUGGACAGUGCUGACCCAGAUUGGAUCCAGGGCUCAAAGAGCAUCUCCAAGAGACCAUAUAAGAAUCACUAACAUGAGCUGCAUAUGCUGGAGGCCCCUCUGCUGUCAUUAUUUUAUGUGCUGGAAAACGCUGUGAUGGGAAGACAGCCCGGUCAGAUGGGGAUGGCCUGGAAUAGGAGCCAGGUAUCUGUGUCAUGGACUAGUAAUACAAGUCUCUUGGCCUCUCUGGGCUUCAGUUUCUUCACCUGUUCAACCAAAGGCAUGAACCGAAAGCCUUCUCAGGUCCCUUUCACCUCGACUGCUCUAUGUCAGUAUGAUCUUUU
rnacentral:lncRNA from 1 species